UACAGAGGGUGCAAGCGUUAUCCGGAAUCACUGGGUUUAAAGGGUGCGUAGGCGGGAUUAUAAGUCAGAGGUGAAAUCUCGUCGCUUAACGACGGAAUUGCCUUUGAUACUGUUUUUCUUGAAAUUUGUUGAGGUUGGCGGAAUGAGACAUGUAGCGGUGAAAUGCUUAGAUAUGUCUUAGAACACCGAUUGCGAAGGCAGCUGACUGGACAAUAUUUGACGCUGAGGCACGAAAGCGUGGGGAUCAAACAGG
rnacentral:rRNA from 1 species